rnacentral:rRNA from 1 species
GACGAACCGUGCGAACGUUGUUCGGAAUCACUGGGCUUAAAGGGCGCGUAGGCGGCCGACCAAGUCCGGGGUGAAAGCCCCCAGCUCAACUGGGGAAGUGCCUCGGAUACUGGCCGGCUUGAGGGAGGUAGGGGGCGGAUGGAACUUCCGGUGGAGCGGUCGAAAUGCGUUGAUAUCGGAAGGAACGCCGGUGGCGAAAGCGAUCCGCUGGCCCUCUACUGACGCUGAGGCGCGAAAGCCAGGGGAGCAAACGGGG